CCGUCGAUAGCUCAGUUGGCAGAGCGGUGGACUGUAGAUCCAUAGGUCGCUGGUUCAACUCCGGCUCGACGGA
rnacentral:tRNA from 2 species